rnacentral:misc_RNA from 1 species
AAGGAGUCGUCUUCGUAUGCGAGUGUUCGGGUGUCAAACCCCUACGCGUAAUGAAAGUGAACGUAGGUGAGAGCUUCGGCGCAUCACCGACCGAUCCUGAUGUUCUCGGAUGGAUUUGAGUAAGAGCAUACGGGGCCGGACCCGAAAGAAGGUGAACUAUGCCUGAAUAGGGUGAAGCCAGAGGAAACUCUGGUGGAGGCUCGCAGCGAUUCUGACGUGCAAAUCGAUCGUCAAAUGUGGGUAUAGGGGCGAAAGACUAAUCGAACCUUCUAGUAGAUGGUUCCC